CAGUAGCUGGGACUACAGGCGUGCUCUGCCACGCCUGGUUCAUUUUUCUAUAUUUUGUAGAGAUGGCUGGAGACGGAGGUCUUGCUGUGUUGUCCAGGCUGGUCUCAAACUCACGGGCUCAAGCGAGCCUCCCAUCUCAGCCUCCCCAGCAGCUUGGACUACAGGUGCACUCCGCCAUGCCUGACUCAUGUUUCUAUAUUUUGUAGAGAUGGUUGGAGCGGGGAGGUCUUGCUGUGGUGCCCAGGCUGGUCUUGAACUCCUGGGCUCAAGCAAUCCUCCUGUCUUGGUCUCCCAAAGUGCUAGGAUGACAGGCAUGAGUCACCGUCCCCGGCUGAGACCAUUUCCUCUUGUGCUUCCACAUCACGGGGCUGGCAGCUUUGGUGAUGAUGAGAUGGUGCCUCGUAGAAGAUUGUGAUGCUGUUGACAUUGGACACCCAUACUUUGGAGCGGACUUCACCUGUGUCUGCUGUGGUGGCGUCCUCCAUGAGAUGGUUUUCCCAAUCGCCGGGUGAAUCUGAGUGAGACUGUCUAUUCUUUCGACGACUACCUUUCAACUCAAGUUAUGGUUUUAUAAAUAAUAUAUAUGGCAAGUCGGUGCUGGGGAAAGGACGUUCAUUCCGCUCUGAAAUAUUUAUGGCCUGGAGUGUCUGCUUACUUUUCCUUGGAGUCAUUUUUUAGCACGGCCUGUUGGAGAGUACGACAGCCCAGGGCAUCUUCUGAGGCCACUGCAUCAAGAGCCCUUCCAGGCGGGCUGCAGGGUUUAUUCAUCCUGCGGAUGUCAGGGGUGGAGGGAGAUGGCAGCUCUGCCCGGGGAUCACUCCCAAACCCAGAACUCCUAAAUUAUAUCAGGGAGGGCUCUGAGCCGGUGACAAGAAUCAGCGCCGCUGCCUUUGAAACAGAUGUCACUUUCCAGCAUGCAGUUUGAAUAAUAACAUGCACUCCUCCGGCCUUCUCAGAUAGGAACUAUCCUGUGAGGUGGGCAUUAUAACCCUCAUUUUGCAAAUGGGGAAACUGAGGUUCAGAGAGGUUAAGAAAUGCCUCAAGGUCAUGCCGUCACCAAGUAGGAGAGCCUGGAUUGUCACCCAGCCGGGCAGACCCCUCAUCUCAAU
rnacentral:lncRNA from 10 species